AUGUUUUGGUCUAUACAAUCUGUUCUGUUUAGCUCCACAUCCUCACACACACUACUCACCACCUCUUCAAGACUCUACCUCUUCAACAAUCUCUUCAAGACGCUACCUCUUCAACACUCUCUUCAAGACGCUACCUCUUCAACACUCUCUUCAAAACUCUACCACUUCAACACUCUCUUCAAGACUCUACCUCUUCAACACUCUCUUCAGAACUCUACCACUUCAACACUCUCUUCAAGACUCUACCACUUCAACACUCUCUUCAAGACUACCUCUUCAACACUCUCUUCAAGACGCUACCUCUUCAACACUCUCUUCAAAACUCUACCACUUCAACACUCUCUUCAAGACUCUACCUCUUCAACACUCUCUUCAGAACUCUACCACUUCAACACUCUCUUCAAGACUCUACCACUUCAACACUCUCUUCAAGACUCUACCUCUUCAACACCCUUCAAGACUCUACCACUUCAACACUCUCUUCAAGACUCUACCUCUUCAACACCCUUCAAGACUUCCUCUUCNNNNNNNNNNCAAAUCCGGCUUUAAACUUCUUCACAACAGUAUCUCGGACCUGCCUGGUGUGUUCCUUGUUCUUCAUGAUGCUCUCUGCGCUUUUAACGGACCUCUGAGACUAUCACAGUGCAGGUGCAUUUAUACGGAGACUUGAUUACACACAGGUGGAUUGUAUUUAUCAUCAUUAGUCAUUUAGGUCAACAUUGGAUCAUUCAGAGAUCCUCACUGAACUUCUGGAGAGAGUUUGCUGCACUGAAAGUAAAGGGGCUGAAUAAUUUUGCACGCCCAAUUUUUCAGUUUUUGAUUUGUUAAAAAAGUUUGAAAUAUCCAAUAAAUGUUGUUCCACUUCAUGAUUGUGUCCCACUUGUUGUUGAUUCUUCACAAAAAAAUACAGUUUUAUGUCUUUAUGUUUGAAGCCUGAAAUGUGGCAAAAGGUCGCAAAGUUCAAGGGGGCCGAAUACUUUCGCAAGCCACUGUAUACACUACCAUUCAAAGGUUUGGAGUCACUUAGAAAUGUCCUUGUUUUUGAAAGAAAGCUAUUUUUUUGUCCAUGAAAAUAACAUCAAAUUGAUCAGAAAUACAAUGUAGACUUUGUUAAUGUUGUAAAUUAUGUUGAUGUUGAGAUUGGUGUUUUGUGGGUACUAUUUCAUUAACUGCCAGUUGAGGCCUUGUGAGGCGUCUGUUUCUCAAACUACACACUCUUAUGUACUUGUCCUCUUGCUCAGUUGUGCACCGGGCCUCCCACUCCUUUUUCUAUUCUGGUUAGAGCCAGUUUGCGCUGUUCUGUGAAGGGAGUAGUACACAGCAUUGUAUGAGAUAUUCAGUUUCUUGGCAAUUUCUCACACGGAAUAGCCUUCAUUUCUCAGAACAAGAAUAUAUUGAUGAGUUUCAGAAGAAAAGGAUUUUCUAAUGAUCAAUUAACCUUUUAAAAUGAUAAACUUGGAUUAGCUAACACAACGUGCCAUUGGAACACAGGAGUGAUGGUUGCUGAUAAUGGGCCUCUGUACGCCUAUGUAGAUAUUCCAUUAAAAAUCAGCCGCUUCCAGCUACAAUAGUCAUUUACAACAUUAACAAUGUCUACACUGUAUUUCUGAUCAAUUUGAUGUUAUUUUAAAGGACAAAAAAUGUGCUUUUCUUUCAAAAACAAGGACAUUUCUUAAAGACCACAAACUUUUGAACAGUAAUAUUUGCAAACAUUUCUAAAAACCUAUUUUUGCUUUGUCAUUAUGGUGUAUUUUGUGUAGAUUGAUGAGGGGGAAAAAACAAUUUAAUCAAUUGUAGAAUAAAGCUGUAAUGUAACAAAAUGUGGAAAAAGUCAAGGGGUCUGGAUAUUUUUCGAAUGCACUGUAUAUACUGUUUUUAAUUGCACAUGACUACUGCAUGAUACAUAAGGAUAAUUGGAAUAUGAUA
rnacentral:lncRNA from 13 species